rnacentral:tRNA from 1 species
CGGGGCGUAGCUCAGUCCGGCAAGAGCGCUCGGUUCGGGUCCGUGAGGUCGCCGGUUCAAAUCCGGCCGCCCCGA